AGAGUUUGAUCCUGGCUCAGGAUGAACGCUAGCUACAGGCUUAACACAUGCAAGUCGAGGGGAAACGACAUUGGAAGCUUGCUUCCUUUGGGCGUCGACCGGCGCACGGGUGAGUAACGCGUAUCCAACCUUCCCGCAAGUAAGGGAUAACCCGUAGAAAUGCGGCCUAAUACCUUAUGUUUUCCUUAGAGGGCAUCUGAUGAGGAACAAAGAUCCGUCGCUUGCGGAUGGGGAUGCGUCUGAUUAGUUAGUCGGCGGGGUAACGGCCCACCGAGACGACGAUCAGUAGGGGUUCUGAGAGGAAAGUCCCCCACAUUGGAACUGAGACACGGUCCAAACUCCUACGGGAGGCAGCAGUGAGGAAUAUUGGUCAAUGGGCGGAAGCCUGAACCAGCCAAGUAGCGUGCAGGACGACGGCCCUAUGGGUUGUAAACUGCUUUUAUGCGGGGAUAAAGUGGGCCACGCGUGGCCUUUUGCAGGUACCGCAUGAAUAAGGACCGGCUAAUUCCGUGCCAGCAGCCGCGGUAAUACGGAAGGUCCGGGCGUUAUCCGGAUUUAUUGGGUUUAAAGGGAGCGCAGGCCGCCGGGCAAGCGUGUUGUGAAAUGCAGUCGCUCAACGUCUGCACUGCAGCGCGAACUGCCCAGCUUGAGUGCACGCAACGUUGGCGGAAUUCGCCGUGUAGCGGUGAAAUGCUUAGAUAUGGCGAAGAACUCCGAUUGCGAAGGCAGCUGACGGGUGCGUAACUGACGCUCAUGCUCGAAAGUGCGGGUAUCGAACAGGAUUAGAUACCCUGGUAGUCCGCACGGUAAACGAUGGAUGCCCGCUAUUCGGCCCAUGCGGUUGAGUGGCCAAGCGAAAGCGUUAAGCAUCACACCUGGGGAGUACGCCGGCAACGGUGAAACUCAAAGGAAUUGACGGGGGCCCGCACAAGCGGAGGAACAUGUGGUUUAAUUCGAUGAUACGCGAGGAACCUUACCCGGGCUUAAAUUGCAGCCGAACGAUCCAGAGAUGGUGAGGCCCUUCGGGGCGGCUGUGAAGGUGCUGCAUGGUUGUCGUCAGCUCGUGCCGUGAGGUGUCGGCUUAAGUGCCAUAACGAGCGCAACCCCUCUCCCCAGUUGCCAUCGGGUAAUGCCGGGCACUCCGGGGACACUGCCACCGUAAGGUGCGAGGAAGGUGGGGAUGACGUCAAAUCAGCACGGCCCUUACGUCCG
rnacentral:rRNA from 1 species